CAGCAGCCGCGGUAAUACGUAGGGUGCAAGCGUUAAUCGGAAUUACUGGGCGUAAAGCGUGCGCAGGCGGUUAUAUAAGACAGAUGUGAAAUCCCCGGGCUCAACCUGGGAACUGCAUUUGUGACUGUAUAGCUAGAGUACGGCAGAGGGGGAUGGAAUUCCGCGUGUAGCAGUGAAAUGCGUAGAUAUGCGGAGGAACACCGAUGGCGAAGGCAAUCCCCUGGGCCUGUACUGACGCUCAUGCACGAAAGCGUGGGGAGCAAACAGAAUUAGAUACCCUGGUAGUCCACGCCCUAAACGAUGUCAACUGGUUGUUGGGAAUUCACUUUCUCAGUAACGAAGCUAACGCGUGAAGUUGACCGCCUGGGGAGUACGGCCGCAAGGUUGAAACUCAAAGGAAUUGACGG
rnacentral:rRNA from 1 species